AGCGCAGGCGGGAAACUAAGCGGAUCUUAAAAGUGCGGGGCUCAACCCCGUGAUGGGGUCCGAACUGGUUUUCUUGAGUGCAGGAGAGGAAAGCGGAAUUCCCAGUGUAGCGGUGAAAUGCGUAGAUAUUGGGAAGAACACCAGUGGCGAAGGCGGCUUUCUGGACUGUAACUGACGCUGAGGCUCGAAAGCUAGGGUAGCGAAACG
rnacentral:rRNA from 1 species